CACAAUAAAACGAUUUGAAAACUAGCAGCCUGAGUGGGGCUUCGCCCCCCAUUUCUGGCUCCUACUCUAUUUUCGAAAGCGUGCCUUCUCCAAAACCUCAAAAGCACCUGGUUGGGUGCCUAAAAACCCACCGUCUUUUCGGCUUAUGACUGGCAGAGACCGUUGUAAACCGGAUUAUCGGUUAACUAUAUCAGGUGACCAGAGCCUCAUCACGCCCUACCCCCCCUGUUUUCCAGCGUGAUGCUACUGUUUUGGCUUUACGUGCAACUUGCAUGGCAUCCAGACAAUACUGUGAGGGCUCCGCCGAGACAGGGUUACGCCUCUCAUCUUGCGUUGCCGGCGCCUCGUGUUCCCGUCUCCGCUUGAUGAGAGGAUGCCUUUUGCGACGCAUUUGAUGCUCCGCUCGAGGGACUACUUAACUGUCUUUUGCAAACACAUGUGACGACCGUUGUUUAUCAGCUCGUUUGUUCUCUUGUUGGUUUCCGUACUGGUAUAACAUGGCCUAAAGGUUGUGGUACGUGGGCUGGGAUCCACGAGUGAUUGAACCCGCUGACGAAACGAUGGAACGUCAAGAUUUACUACAUUUUACACUUUUAGCGGUGGAUGUCUUGGCUCACACAACGAUGAAGGACGCAGCGAAUUGCGAUAAGCAUUGUGACUUGCAGACUUCUGCGAAUCAACAGAUUUCUGAACGUAUUAGACACACCACCUCUGCUUGCACGUGGAACUCCCAUUUCAGUGAACCUCAUCUUCUAACAAACAACCGCUUUGCGAAUUCUGUUGA
rnacentral:rRNA from 1 species